rnacentral:rRNA from 1 species
AUUGAACGCUAACGGCAUGCUUAACACAUGCAAGUCGAACGGCAGCACAGCAGUAGCAAUACUGUGGGUGGCGAGUGGCGGACGGGUGAGUAAUGUAUAGGAAUCUGCCUUGUAGUGGGGGAUAACCUGGGGAAACUCGGGCUAAUACCGCAUAAUCUUUACGAAGCAAAGCGGGGGAUCGUAAGACCUUGCGCUAUAAGAUGAGCCUAUAUUGGAUUAGCUAGUCGGUGGGGUAAAGGCCUACCAAGGCGACGAUCCAUAGCUGGUCUGAGAGGAUGAUCAGCCACACUGGGACUGAGACACGGCCCAGACUCCUACGGGAGGCAGCAGUGGGGAAUAUUGGACAAUGGGGGAAACCCUGAUCCAGCAAUGCCGUGUGUGUGAAGAAGGCCUUCGGGUUGUAAAGCACUUUUAGUGGGAAAGAAAAGCUCAAAGCUAAUAACUUUGAGCCUUGAUGUUACCCACAGAAAAAGCACUGGCUAACUCUGUGCCAGCCGCCGCAGUAA